GCGGAAAGUCCCAGAAAUGACGUUUUAACCAGGUAAUUAAAAGCGAUUUAAUUACACAGUGGAUCUCUGCACUGGGAACCCUUGAGGAUCUACGUGCUGUAAACAACUCGGUAGACUGACUGCAGCUUUUCAUUGACUCAGACCAUCUUGAUCUGCUUAGUGACGGGAAAAAAGAAACGCUGCUGCCGUCGACGGUAUGCGUGCGCACGCGCACGACGUUUAGCUGCGGCACCGCUCCCACCGGAAAGCGCGUUCACGUGAAACUCUAGAAAGAACAAUCAAGGAAGAAAAAAAAAAAAAGACCGACUAGUACAAUCCUGAUCUUGAAAGGAAUAAAUCAAGUAUUCAAAGGCAACAUACCGUGGCAAGACAAAGAGCAAGACCAGAACCACACCUGGAAAGGACUCAUGCAUGUCCUCACUCAUUUACCAUGCAGGAUAAGCGAGAAGGUUUAAGGGAUGCCAGAAUCUGAUAGCAGCAAUAGGCACAAAACAGUUACCAUCUGUCAGUCACUAUGGCUCAUACUGGGGCCAGGCUAGUGUUCCCAGUAUGUUACUAGAACAUAAAAGAAUACUGAUGUGAAUAUGAAGAACACUUGCAAGUUCUAUUCAGGGGAUGCUGCAACCAUGACUCAGACUUGGAAUCAAGAGCUGUGAGGCUACAAGACUAUGUGCUCUAUCAUCGUGCCUCACACUUCAAAAGGUGUAAUUAAUUUAAUUACAAAAAUAUCACAAGGACACAAUAACAACUUUUUAUUCUACUUACGUGCCUCAGGAAUGACAGGUCGAGCAACAAAGUAAAGUUGAGACACCAACUGGGUCGUCUCAUUUAAUACGAAUGUCCAAAGCAAAAAUCAUGCCUUUAGGUGACAAGAAAAUGGCUACUCUGGCACAGUAAGUCCUCUCAGGCUGUCAUUCUGUGGAGCUCCAUCCAGUACGUCACUCUGAGUGGAACGUUACGUCUCCUUCUGGGCAGCUGAGUUUCUUAUUAUGGUUUAUUUCUCAGUGCUGUGGGGAGAGAAGGAGACAGCGCCCCCUCUUGCCUUGGUGGGUUAUUACAUACCACGAUUGAGCCCAUGAGGAGAUCCUCUGAUUCGCAUAUGUGACAAUACUGUAUAUACUCGCGUUUAAGUUCUCCUGCAGAUAAGUUGGGGCUUGGUUUUACUUUAUA